AAUACGAGAUUUCAAAGCUCCAAAUGGCUUUAAGCGGUCAAGUGGACUUUAAAAAAAGUUGUACCAACCAACCAACGGCAUUCUACUUGUCCUGUGUUUUAGUUUGGUUCCAAAACUAUCGAAAUGUUUCGCAACGCACUGCCUUCGUUGAGUCAGCUGGAAGAGCUAGUAAGCUUUUUGGAAAACAAACCAUGUUUGAUUAUGAUGGGCCCAUGAUCGUACUGCAAAUGCGAGCAGUCAUCAGGCACGAUCCGAAAACAACAGCCCCAAACAGUGACGUAGUGGGUGUAUGAAAAUAUUGGAGCAGUGGUGUAAGUACUGGAAGGACAAAAAGGAGCAGUGCAGAGGAAGUCCAGUUCAAUUGCAGCUGCGAGGCAACAUGAAGAAUUUGCCAGAACUCGGUGUAAUUGAGUUAAAAAUACAUUUCAUUAUGUGAGGAGAAUGUUUUGGAACCUGAAUUUAGAUAAAUAAAUCCAUGUUCAUUAUAAAAUACAAAAUAAUAAAAAGACAUGUUGAAUUAAAA